CAUUUAACAAACUUUCAUUUUAGCAUUAAUUACUUAUUUAUUUCAGCGUUGCAAUUCAAUAAUGGUAUUAAAUGGAGUAUAAGCAAACUAUUUUGGUUUUCGAUCUAAUAUCUUUUGUUGAAAGUGUUGAGUUUCAAUACAAAUAAGAUACUGCUUGGAAUUGUGUAAGGCAACUCAAUGCUACAAGCAUGUUGAUCUCCGUAUCAUAUUUGGCAGUUACAAUUCAAAAUGGUUUAGAUUCGUUGUUUUGUUUUGUUUCAAUUGGUAUUCAACUGGCACAAACCUCCGGAUUAAAAGUUGUAUAACCAGCGUUUUGUCAAAAUAAGCAGAAUUUUGAUCCGGAUUGGAAAUACCAGUUGAAAUAGAUAAAAGAUUUGUAACAAAGAUUUGGAAACGUAACAAAGAUUUGGAAACGUAACUGGAAGGAGUUUGUUGAAUCCUUGUCGGUCUUCGUCACGGCCUACUGACGUCACCAGGCCAUCUACGUCACCAACUGUCUCUUCAUCGUUAUUCUGCGUAGUUUUCAAACCUAUUUAAGCCUAUAUAUAACAGACUGUUGCAACUUAACGUCACCGACCGUUUUCGUCCAAAAGGAGUUCGUUUUAAAGAAUCGCAAUGGUCAGCUGUUGAUACAGACCUGCCUACGAGAACAACUACAACGUUACUGUUUCUGUCAUGCUGUUUCAAGUAUUGUCAGGCAUCAAUUUCUGCACGUACAAUUCAAGACAGAGAGGGGCAAAGACGAAAAUUAAAGUUUCACAUUUUGUUAAAAAGCGCAAACAAGGCAACAUGUUGCUCUGUUUGGUGGAGGGCGCUCAACCGCACUGCGUUCUACCCAUUAGUUUGGGUUGUCGUCAUUUCUGGUUUAGUGUAGCUGUAAGUGCAGUCAGCUGCGCAUUCGGUUUUGCAGCAAGACCGUAUAGUUAACUCGCGCCUCACCCUUUUAACGUUAAUUAUCCCUUUACCAAUACCUCUAUUCCUUAAGUCGCGUUAGAACACUUCCCAACACUGUCACACAAACUCUUAGUUCGCGUAAAACGAGAAAGUUUAGUAAUGACGACAUAAAAACGAUGAACGAAAUGAGAAGACGCCACGUGCCCACAGGGGUACAGAGAAAUUGUAUCCGGGUCCUGCAGACGUAGAGGACGAAGAGGAAUGGAUGGAACACAAGCUUCAGCAUCAAUAUAUGCUACAUAUCGCAGUAUUGGUGAACGGUAUGUCAAUAUUUCUGUUAUAGGCGAUCGGGUCACGGGCGCGUGAUAUUUUUUAGGGACGU